rnacentral:rRNA from 1 species
UACGUAGGGGGCAAGCGUUGUCCGGAAUCAUUGGGCGUAAAGCGCGUGUAGGCGGCUCGGUAAGUCCGCUCUGAAAGCCCGGGGCUCAACCCCGGGAGGCGGGUGGAUACUGCUGAGCUCGAGUCCGGAAGAGGCGAGUGGAAUUCCCGGUGUAGCGGUGAAAUGCGCAGAUAUCGGGAGGAACACCAAUGGCGAAGGCAGCUCGCUGGGACGUUACUGACGCUGAGACGCGAAAGCGUGGGGAGCAAACAGG